GAGGGAUGGCUGAGUGGUUUAAAGCACCGGUCUUGAAAACCGGCGGGGCGCAAGCCCUCGGGGGUUCGAAUCCCUCUCCCUCC
rnacentral:tRNA from 1 species